GACGAACCGUGCGAACGUUGUUCGGAAUCACUGGGCUUAAAGGGCGUGCAGGUGGUUUCGUAAGUGGUGCGUGAAAGCGCUCGGCUCAACCGGGCGAGGCCGUGCCAAACUGCGAGACUAGAAACAGGCAGAGGAAAGUGGAAUUCGGGGUGUAGUGGUGAAAUGCGUAGAGAUCCCGAGGAACUCCAGUGGCGAAGGCGACUUUCUGGGCCUGCUUUGACACUCAGACGCGAAAGCAUGGGGAGCGAACGGG
rnacentral:rRNA from 1 species